rnacentral:rRNA from 1 species
UACGUAGGGUGCAAGCGUUUGUCCGGAAUUAUUGGGCGUAAAGAGCUCGUAGGCGGUCUGUCGCGUCGGCUGUGAAAACCUGGGGCUUAACUCCGGGCUUGCAGCCGAUACGGGCAGACUAGAGUUCGGCAGGGGAGACUGGAAUUCCUGGUGUAGCGGUGAAAUGCGCAGAUAUCAGGAGGAACACCGGUGGCGAAGGCGGGUCUCUGGGCCGAAACUGACGCUGAGGUGCGAAAGCGUGGGGAGCGAACAGG